ACAAUGCCUUUCACUUAAAUAGCAUUUGGAUUUCUUAAAAUCCACAGAGUUUAUAUUAGAGCGUCAUCCAUUAAUGCUUUGGCUAGGAGGGGGUCUAUCGCCCUGGUUGGAGUGCAGCAGUGUAAUCAUAGCUCACUGCUGCCAUGAACUUCUGGGCUCAAGCGAUCCUCCCACCUCAGCCUCCCUGUGUGCUGGGAUUAAAAGUGUGAGCCACCAUGCCUCAUCAUAAGGGUCUUCAAAGAAACCCUAUUUCAUGUUUGCUUUCCAUAUGCUGGAUGAUGUGUGUGGAUUUUCAGUGUGUGUUUCAGAGUCUUAAAAGCUCAUGCUAGCUUGCUUAACAUACCUGCUAUAACUCAUGAUAUAGAACCCUAUGGAGAACUGUGUUGCAACAUGGAUGCAGUGCCUAUACUAAGGCACAUUGCCAAGCUGAAGACUGUCAGAGAGCAUCACUAACGGAGGACCUAGUUGUCUCACCUGUGGUGGUGGAAAGAGCACCAAGCUUGGAACCAGAGGGUCCAGGUUCGGGUCAUUGUCAUCGUGUAAGCAUGGGCAGGGCCACUGUCAUAAGGACGCCUGGAAGAGUGAAGAAAGGCCUGAUUGAUCACAAGGUCCUAUCAAAUGUCAAAGCUGGCCCUGGCUGACCUCCCAUCUAUUCAGAGCUGCUUUGAUUUAAUCUCCAAACUGGCUGCUUCUCCAGGCUAGAAGAGAAUUGAAAAUUUCAAGAAGGCAAAGGUGAUGGAAGUGUCUUCAUGAGACCCUUGGGUAACAUAAAUUGGCAAAGAAUUGGAUGAUCUGGGUUCUAAGAUCUGGCCUUAAAACUAGCCAUCUAUUGACUGAGUAAGUUACUUCACUUUUUGGUGGUCUUAGUCUCUUGAUAUUCACCACACAGGGUUUGGAAAAAAUGUAUUUCUUUGUUCCUACUAUGGCUAAAUUAUAUGGAUUUUUUCUGUCCUGUAUUCAGAAUCAGAUACUAGUUUUUCCUUCAUACGUCAAUAAUGUGUAUAAGCACCCAGGGCCAGAUACAUUCUAAGUGUUCAAUAAGUAUUUGUUGAGUGAAUGGAUGUAGUUAGUUGUCUGCCUGGAUCAAUAGCUCCUUUAACACUCCAUUAUUAAAGCUUGAUAUUUUCCACACCUAGACUUAAGCAAAGUGUUCAAACAUGGAUGUUUUUGAUGCAGGUGAAAUAUUUUGCUACAGAGUGGUAGAGGAUCACUGGGCACAAUCCUCUGCUCUUGAAUUGCUAAAAGGGCCUACUUCCAGAGAUGGCCAAGAAAGUUUGGGACUCUAGCACUCAGCUGAUUUUCCUAAAGAAAAGCCCUCAGGAUGUGCUCAAAGACCUGGAUCAGGCACACUGAGGUGAUGAUGGGAGGUCAGGAAAAUGGCCAGAAUGGAACUAAGAUUUAACUUCCCAGAACACUCGUAUACGAUUUUUCUGAAAAGUUUUUUCCGCACCUUAGCAAUAUUAACUACUUUGAAUACUCAAGUCCAGAAUAAUUACAUUUUCCUUCUUUCACAUUCUGACACUUAUAUAUAUAUCACUUAUGAGAUAUUUAAUACUACUCUUUUGAGAAUGAAUAGUUUAUUUUUAGUGUGAUGAUGUCUUUUUAAUCGAAUGAAACUGUUAGCAUCAACAAGGACAGAGAUACUACCUUACCUUUAUUUCUGGCACACAGUUCUCUGUAUCUCGCAAACUCCAGCACAGUAUAAUCUACUCAGCAUCAGACAUAUGGGAAAACACUAUCUAAAUAGGAAAGCAUUGUACAAACAUUAGUAGUUGUUAUUAUGAUUAGAAUUGAUGUUUCAGGUCAUUUAAUAAUUACUCUUACUUCUGGUACAUACCCUCCUCCAGGAACGUAAAAGCUCGUCAGUGUUUUCUGGGCUUAGCAUAGAUGUCCUGAGAUCUUAGCAUUUCUAGGAUUUCAAACUGUACAAGAAUAUACAAAAGAACAUUUAUCAUGCUCUCCAUUCAGAAGGAUAAUAUUAAAAAUUAAUAAGCAUUUUAGUCUGCUGGGAUGCAACAUAAUUCAGGGGAGGGGAGGAGGUCCGUCGCUAUCUUUUUCAAGGGCAAUUCACAACGACACUUUGCUUGAUAAAUUCCUGAAGCUUGAUGUUCUCCUCACCAUUAUACAAUGUGAGUGCUGAUAAGGUCUUUUAAAAAUAACAAUACUUUAUUUUAAAUUAGUCCAUCUGUUUGGGGAAAAAGGGAGCAGUGUGUACCUAUAUAGGUGUCAUAUCCUUUAGUCCCAUAAAUUUCACAGCUAAAAUUAUAUCUUCUUUUUUUGUUUGUUUGAAAUGGAGUCUCACUCUGUUACCCAGGCUGAAAUGCAGUGGCACAAUUUCGGCUCACUGCAGCCUCCGCCUCCUGGGCUCAAGUGAUUCCCCUGCCUCAGUCUCCUGAGUAGCUGGGAUUACAGGUGCCCAACACCGCACCUGGCUAAUGUUUGUAUUUUUAGUAAAGAUGGGGUUUCACCAUGUUGGCCAAGCUGGUCUUGAACUCCUGACCUCAGGUGAACCACCUGCCUUGGCCUCCCAAAGUGCUGGGAUUACAGAAAUGAGCCACCACGCCUGGCCUAAAACUGUAUCUUAAAAAAAAUAGUUCACGUAAGAAACAAAAAUCUUAAGGAAGGAAUGACUUUACUUGUGACUUAUUGAUCAUAAAAGGAACUUGGAAACAAUUUGGAUGCCCAAUAUUAGAAAUGCUUAAAUAAAUUAUACUAGCAAGAAAACACAUUAGGAAGAUGUUAACAUUUAGCACUUUAGAGCUUAGACAAAUAUAUAGAAAAAUUUUUUUUGGAAAAGCUUAAUGCGAUAUUUGUACACAAGUAUGUGAAAUGUUCAUAUGUAUAUGAAUGCUAACAUUCCCCAAAAGCAAAGACUUAUUUUACUGGGUAGGCUGUUUGCAUUGUACAAAAAACAUGAGUUUAGAAUUAGAGCUAGAUUUAAAUUCCAGUUCUUCCAUAAGCUGUGUGACACUCGCAAAUUAUUAAUCCUCUCUGGAUAUGUAUUUCCUUAUUAGCAAGUGUGUGUGUGUGUGUGUGUGUGUGUGUGUGUGUGUGUGUGUGUGUGUGUGUGUGUGUGUUAAGCAAAGCCACUUUAACAGUCUAGGACAUAGUAGGAGCUCAAUGCUAUUAUUUCCCUUUCCCUUUACUAAAUACCUGAGACUUCCUUGGUUUAAAAAGUUUUGUUCAAAUUGACUGAUUUUUAUAGAAAUUUCAAUGUCGUUGUUUUUGACCCAUGCAAGAAUUUCUAACGGACGAGACUCUAUUAAUUAAUGUGAUAAUUUUCCUGUAAUUGGUCAAUAAUCUUUACAUUUGAAUAGAUUUCAGAACAGUAUUAAAUAUCUUGGGUUGGAGGUUAAUUUCUGUAAACAAAAAUGUAUAUCCAACAGUGUUGCAUUUUAGCUGAUCUUGACUAUAAACGAGUGCAAUUUGUGUUCAUUUCCCAUAUAUCAUUGACACUAAAUUUUGGAGCACUUACAUCUGGGUUAUGUUUGAGUAACCUUCUGGGAGUAUCUCUCCAUAGAUUUGGGAAUGAAAUAUCUCCCAAAUAUAAUGCAAUUUCAGAAUGCCUAGAAACUCACUACAUAGUAUAUAUGCGUAUUUAAAAGAAACUGGUCUCAUACAUGAUAAAAGAAGGGUAAUGCUAGACAUAAUGACUGUUGCCACUUGGUAGCAGGGGCCAGAGAGAACAGGAAAAAGAUUAAACAAGACGAUUAAAAUUAUUUUUCAAGUAAGGCUAUACCUCUGUAUACAUGCUUAAUUACAAAAGGAAAUUAGGAGCAAGUGCAUGUAUAUUACUGCAUGUAUAAACGUAGAGUUUAAUCGGUUUGGAGUAAAUUAAUGACUGCUUGCAAUAUUUCUGGCGAUUUGUUCUAAGCUUUGUGGUUUUAAAUUGGUUUCUUGAAAAUGCUGGAUAAAACAUUUGAAUUCACACAUUGUUUUAGGAAUUGAUUUGGGGAUAAUAAAAUAUAAUGAAAUGUUUCA